rnacentral:rRNA from 1 species
CGAUGGGAAACAGGUUAAUAUUCCUGUACUUGUUAUUACUGCGAUGGGAUGACGGAGAAGGUUAGAUCAGCCAACUGUUGGAUAUGUUGGUUUAAGUGUGUAGACGUGCUGAAUAGGAAAAUCCGUUCGGCUUAGUUGAGACAUGAUGACGAGCUUCAUUAGAAGUGAAGUGAUUGAUACCAUGCUUCCAGGAAAAGUCUCUAAGCUUCAGGUAAUAACGAACCGUACCCCAAACCGACACAGGUGGUUGGGAUGAGUAUUCUAAGGCGCUUGAGAGAACUCGGGUGAAGGAACUAGGCAAAGUGGUACCGUAACUUCGGGAGAAGGUACGCCACUUGGUGUGAAGGGCUUGCCCCGUAAGCACCGAGUGGUCGCAGUGAAAAGGCCCCUGCAACUGUUUAUUAAAAACACAGCACUCUGCAAACGCGUAAGCGGACGUAUAGGGUGUGACGCCUGCCCGGUGC